CCUACGGGUGGCAGCAGUGAGGAAUAUUGGUCAAUGGGCGCAAGCCUGAACCAGCCAAGUCGCGUGAAGGAAGACGGCCCUACGGGUUGUAAACCUCUUUUGCCGGGGAGCAAACCUGAGCACGUGUGCCCCGUCGGAUAUUCCCCAUGAAAAAAGCCUCGGCUAACGCCGUGCCAGCAGCCGCGGAAAUACGUAGGUGGCAAGCGUUUCCCGGAUUUACUGGGUGUAAAGGGCGUGUAGCCGGGCUGACAAGUCAGUUGUGAAAUCCUGGGGCUCAACCACGGAAUUGCAUUUGAAACUGGCGGCCUUGAGUAUCGGAGAGGUAGGCGGAAUUCCUGGUGGAGCGGUGAAAUGCGUAGAUAUUAGGAGGAACACCAGUGGCGAAGGCGGCCUGCUGGACGACAACUGACGGUGAGGCGCGAAAGCGUGGGGAGCAAACAGGAUUAGAUACCCGAGUAGUC
rnacentral:rRNA from 1 species